rnacentral:rRNA from 1 species
CAGUCGAGCGACGGAUAAGGAGCUUGCUCCUUUGAAGUUAGCGGCGGACGGGUGAGUAACACGUGGGUAACCUACCUAUAAGACUGGAAUAACUUCGGGAAACCGGAGCUAAUGCCGGAUAACAUAUAGAACCGCAUGGUUCUAUAGUGAAAGAUGGUUUUGCUAUCACUUAUAGAUGGACCCGCGCCGUAUUAGCUAGUUGGUAAGGUAAUGGCUUACCAAGGCGACGAUACGUAGCCGACCUGAGAGGGUGAUCGGCCACACUGGAACUGAGACACGGUCCAGACUCCUACGGGAGGCAGCAGUAGGGAAUCUUCCGCAAUGGGCGAAAGCCUGACGGAGCAACGCCGCGUGAGUGAUGAAGGUUUUCGGAUCGUAAAACUCUGUUAUUAGGGAAGAACAAAUGCGUAAGUAACUGUGCGCAUCUUGACGGUACCUAAUCAGAAAGCCACGGCUAACUACGUGCCAGCAGCCGCGGUAAUACGUAGGUGGCAAGCGUUAUCCGGAAUUAUUGGGCGUAAAGCGCGCGUAGGCGGUUUCUUAAGUCUGAUGUGAAAGCCCACGGCUCAACCGUGGAGGGUCAUUGGAAACUGGGAAACUUGAGUGCAGAAGAGGAAAGUGGAAUUCCAUGUGUAGCGGUGAAAUGCGCAGAGAUAUGGGAGGAACACCAGUGGCGAACGCGACUUUCUGGUCUGUAACUGACGCUGAUGUGCGAAAGCGUGGGGAUCAACAGGAUUAGAUACGCUGGUAGUCCACGCCGUAACGAUGA